rnacentral:rRNA from 1 species
AGCGGCGAACGGGUGAGUAACACGUAGGUGAUCUGCCCAUCAGACGGGGACAACGAUUGGAAACGAUCGCUAAUACCGGAUAGGACGAAAGUUUAAAGGUGCUUCUGGCACCGCUGAUGGAUGAGCCUGCGGCGCAUUAGCUAGUUGGUUGGGUAAAGGCCUACCAAGGCGACGAUGCGUAGCCGACCUGAGAGGGUGAACGGCCACACUGGGACUGAGACACGGCCCAGACUCCUACGGGAGGCAGCAGUAGGGAAUCUUCGGCAAUGGGCGAAAGCCUGACCGAGCAACGCCGCGUGAAUGAUGAAGGCCUUCGGGUUGUAAAAUUCUGUUAUAAGGGAAGAACGACUUUAGUAGGAAAUGGCUAGAGUGUGACGGUACCUUAUGAGAAAGCCACGGCUAACUACGUGCCAGCAGCCGCGGUAAUACGUAGGUGGCGAGCGUUAUCCGGAAUUAUUGGGCGUAAAGAGCGCGCAGGUGGUUGAUUGAGUCUGAUGUGAAAGCCCACGGCUUAACCGUGGAGGGUCAUUGGAAACUGGUCGACUUGAAUGCAGAAGAGGGAAGUGGAAUUCCAUGUGUAGCGGUGAAAUGCGUAGAGAUAUGGAGGAACACCAGUGGCGAAGGCGGCUUCCUGGUCUGUAACUGACACUGAGGCGCGAAAGCGUGGGGAGCAAACAGGAUUAGAUACCCUGGUAGUCCACGCCGUAAACGAUGAGUGCUAAGUGU